UACGUAGGGGACAAGCGUUGUCCGGAAUUAUUGGGCGUAAAGAGCUCGUAGGCGGUCUGUUGCGUCGGCUGUGAAAACCCGGGGCUCAACUCCGGGCCUGCAGCCGAUACGGGCAGACUGGAGUUCGGCAGGGGAGACUGGAAUUCCUGGUGUAGCGGUGAAAUGCGCAGAUAUCAGGAGGAACACCGGUGGCGAAGGCGGGUCUCUGGGCCGAUACUGACGCUGAGGAGCGAAAGCGUGGGGAGCGAACAGG
rnacentral:rRNA from 1 species